UGGUUUGGGGGCUAUACUCAGCCUGGUCUCAGGGUAGUAGGGUGGUGGUUGGUAGAUAUCCCUCUAGUGGUGUGGGGGCUAUAUUCAGCCUUGUCUCAGGAUAGUAGGGUGGUAGAUAUCCCUCUAGUGGUGUGGGGGCUAUACUCAGCCUGGUCUCAGGGUAGUAGGGUGGUAGAUAUCCCUCUAGUGGUGUGGGGGCUAUACUCAGCCUUGUCUCAGGGUAGUGGGGUGGUAGAUAUCCCUCUAGCAGUGUGGGGGCUAUACUCAGCCUGGUCUCAGGGUAGUAGGUUGGUAGAUAUCCAUCUAGUGGUGUGGGGGCUAUACUCAGCCUGGUCUCAGGGUAGUAGGGUGGUAGAUAACCCUCUAGUGGUGCGGGGGCUAUACUCAGCCUGGUCUCAGGGUAGUAGGGUGGUAGAUAUCCCUCUAGCGGUGUGGAAGCUAUAUUCAGCCUUGUCUCAGGGUAGUAGGGUGGUAGAUAUCCCUCUAGUGGUUUGGGGGCUAUACUCAGCCUGGUCUCAGGGUAGUAGGGUGGUAGAUAUCCCUCUAGUGGUGUGGGGGCUAUACUCAGCCUGGUCUCAGGGUAGUAGGGUGGUAGAUAACCCUCUAGUGGUGCGGGGGCUAUACUCAGCCUGGUCUCAGGGUAGUAGGGUGGUAGAUAUCCCUCUAGCGGUGUGGAAGCUAUAUUCAGCCUUGUCUCAGGGUAGUAGGGUGGUAGAUAUCCCUCUAGUGGUGUGGGGGCUAUACUCAGCCUGGUCUCAGGGUAGUAGGGUGGUAGAUAUCCCUCUAGUGGUGUGGGGGCUAUACUCAGCCUUGUAUCAGGGUAGUGGGGUGGUAGAUAUCCCUCUAGCAGUGUGGGGGCUAUACUCAGCCUGGUCUCAGGGUAGUAGGUUGGUAGAUAUCCAUCUAGUGGUGUGGGGGCUAUACUCAGCCUGGUCUCAGGGUAGUAGGGUGGUAGAUAACCCUCUAGUGGUGCGGGGGCUAUACUCAGCCUGGUCUCAGGGUAGUAGGGUGGUAGAUAUCCCUCUAGCGGUGUGGAAGCUAUAUUCAGCCUUGUCUCAGGGUAGUAGGGUGGUAGAUAUCCCUCUAGUGGUGUGGGGGCUAUACUCAGCCUGGUCUCAGGGUAGUAAGUUGGUGGUCUGUUUAUAUCCAUCUAGUAGUGUGCGGGCUGUGCUUUGGCAUAGUGGGUGGGGUUAA
ensembl:lncRNA